rnacentral:sRNA from 1 species
AAAUGUAAUUCCCGAUUUAAUUAAUCCUCGAAUACGCAUACUUCGAUAAACUUUGAAAAUUACUACAACGAAACUAGUACACGUGGACAAUGGUGAUUGAUAGGUAUAUCAAGAAGGGUACAAAGUCAAAAUAGUCAACAAAUAGGUUUCUUAUUAGGGUUUCUUGGGCAAACUCAAGUAGUUGCAGCACUGUUUCUAACUCCCUGACCAUUUUCAAUCUCAGCAUUUCGAUCGUUACAGUUACAUGUGUUCACCGAUCGGACGACGGUGAUCGCUACUGGUUCAGGAGAUGUGAGUGUACCUAACUUCACCAUAUCGAUGCUCACUUCUGGCAAUUUCGCAGCCUCAAGUUCUUUCUCAACCAAAUCCGACGGCGUUUUGCAGUAUUUGUAAACCACAUAGAGUAUCAUUUGAAGUGCACCUAGAACAAACCCAAUCACGUUUGGGAACUGCAUAAAUUGAAAGACAUAUAAAAAGGUGAAAUUAAAGAUAAUUUAUUAGUGCUCAAAGGCCAAAGCAAUAUACCUACUUUUAAUUUUUAUAUAUGAACUUUAUCCUUUACAAAU